UUACGGCCAUAUUACGUUGAAAUACCGGAUUCCGUAGGAUCACCGAUGUUAAGCAACGUUGAGACUGGUCACUACCUAGAUGGGUGACCACUUGGGAAUACCUGGUGCUA